rnacentral:rRNA from 1 species
AAUGAACGUUGGCGGCGUGGAUUAGGCAUGCAAGUCGAGCGCGAACCCCGCAAGGGGUGAAAGCGGCGAAAGGGAGAGUAACGCGUGGGUAUCUGCCCUCGGGACUGGGAUAGCUGCGGGAAACUGCAGGUAAUACCAGGUGACGUCCCCGGACCAAAGGUGUGAUUCCGCCUGAGGAUGAGCCCGCGUCCUAUUAGCUAGUUGGUAGGGUAAUGGCCUACCAAGGCAAUGAUGGGUACUGGGUGUGAGAGCACGACCCAGCUCACUGGGACUGAGACACUGCCCAGACACCUACGGGUGGCUGCAGUCGAGAAUCUUCGGCAAUGGGCGAAAGCCUGACCGAGCGACGCCGCGUGUGGGAUGAAGGCCUUCGGGUUGUAAACCGCUGUCAGAGGGGAGGAAUGGGCGGAGGGUAAUCUCUUCGUUUUGACCUAUCCUCAGAGGAAGUACGGGCUAAGUUCGUGCCAGCCGCCGCAGUAA